GGUGCCCGCGCAGCCAGUGCGAGGGAUAAUAGGGAAACAGGUGAAAAACCUGUGCGGUCCCGCCGCUGUAAGGCUUUUGCGGAUCAGAUGACAGAUACCACUGUAUGGAACGAAGGAUGAUUCCGUAUGGGAAGGAAUGAGAUCCGCGGAAAAUAAAGCCGAGCCAGAAAACCUGCCUUUUGAU
rnacentral:ncRNA from 1 species